AAAAAGGGCGUGCCAUGAUGCCUUCUCUAGGGAGGGUUGAUAUGGCGGGAGUCUUGGUUUACUCCUGCGGUAUGGCAAUCAAGACAUAUCGAGCGCAUAAUUUUUUGAUUUGGCGGCUCGCAACAGGCUUCGCUCAAGCCGGGGCCGCCUU
rnacentral:snRNA from 1 species